CGUAGGUGGCAAGCGUUGUCCGGAAUUAUUGGGCGUAAAGCGCGCGCAGGCGGUUCCUUAAGUCUGAUGUGAAAGCCCCCGGCUCAACCGGGGAAGGUCAUUGGAAACUGGGGAACUUGAGUGCAGAAGAGAAGAGCGGAAUUCCACGUGUAGCGGUGAAAUGCGUAGAGAUGUGGAGGAACACCAGUGGCGAAGGCGGCUCUUUGGUCUGUAACUGACGCUGAGGCACGAAAGCGUGGGGAGCAAACAGGAUUAGAUACCCUGGUAGUCCACGCCGUAAACGAUGAGUGCUAAGUGUUAGAGGGUUUCCGCCCUUUAGUGCUGCAGCUAACGCAUUAAGCACUCCGCCUGGGGAGUACGGCCGCAAGGCUG
rnacentral:rRNA from 1 species